GGGCUGUCUGCAGGUAGACCAGCUUCACUCAGCAGAAAUAAGAGGAGAGGUUAGAGCAGGAACAUGCAGGGUAGAUCUGGGGAGGAUAAGGUUGAGUGUUGCAGUUUCCAUCUGAUUGUUUCUGGCUCUGCAGUAAUGUAAGAAGUGAGGUCCUCACCGAGGAGGGUCAGAGACAGCAGAAGGUGGAGGAAAGGAGAGCAGGUGCACCAGGAAAACGGACUG
rnacentral:lncRNA from 1 species